rnacentral:tRNA from 1 species
UACUUAUUGGUGUAAGAUGCACGAAAGUUUUUGAUACUUGAGGAUAUAGUUUAAUUCUAUCAUAAGUAA